rnacentral:rRNA from 1 species
UCGUGGACUAAUUUGUCUGGUUAAUUCCGUUAACGAACGAGACCUUAACUUGCUAAUUGGGGUCUAUUAAUCUAUAAUAUACCCUGUUAGAAGGACCAUGUGGUUCCAACCCCAAGGAAGCGUGAGGCAAUAACA